UGUCAAAACAAAACCACAUUCCAAAACAAAAAUCCCUUCUAAAAGUCCACAAACUUAACCAUUUUUGAGCAUCUACGUGUCAAAACAAAACCACAUUCCAAAUCAAAAAUCUCUUUUAAAGUCCGUAGACCUAACACUUUUUAAUCAAGUGUCAAAACAAAACCACAUUCCAAAUCAAAAAUCCCUUCUAAAGUACCUAAACUUAACCAUUUUCAACCAACCAAGUCACCUAAAAAAACCAUAUUCCAAAAAAGAAAUCCCUUCUAAAGUCUGUAAACUUAACCAUUUUCGAGCAUCUAAGUGUCAAAAUAAAAUCACAUUCCAAAACAAAUAUCUCUUUUAAAGUCCCUAAACCUAACACUUUUUAUCCAAGUGUCAAAACAAAACCACAUUCCAAAAUAAAAAUCCCUUCUAAAGUCCCUAAACUUAACCAUUUUCAACCAACCAAGUCACCUAACAAAACCGCAUUCCAAAACAUAAUCCCCUUCUAAAGUCCCUAAACUUAACCAUUUUCGAGCAUCUAAGUAUCAAAACAAAACCACAUUCCAAAAUAAAAAUUCAUUUUAAAGUCCCUAAACUUAACCAUUUUCAACCAACCAAGUCACCUAACAAAACCACAUUCCAAAACAAAAUACCCUUCUAAAGUCCCUAAACUUAACCAUUUUCAAGCAUCUAAGUGUCAAAACAAAACCACAUUUCAAACAAAAAUUCAUUUUAAAGUUCCUAAACUUAACCAUUUUCAACAAACCAAGUCACCGAACAAAACCACAUUCCAAAACAAAAUAACCUUCUAAAGUCCCUAAACUUAACCAUUUUCGAGCAUCUAAGUGUCAAAACAAAACCACAUUCCAAAACAAAAAUCCAUUUUAAAGUCCCUAAACUUAACUAUUUUCAACCAACCAAGUCAACUAACCAAACCACAUUCCAAAACACAAAUCUCUUCUAAAGUCCGUAAACUUAACAAUUUUAGAGCAUCUAAGUGUCAAAACAAAACCACAUUCCAAAAUAAAAAUCCCUUUUAAAGUCCCUAAACUUAACCAUUUUCAACCAACCAAGUCACCUAACAAAACCACAUUCCAAAAUAAAAAUCUCUUCUAAAGUCCUUAAAUUUAACCAUUUUCAAGCAUCUAAGUGUCAAAACAAAACCACAUUCCAAAACCAAAAUUCAUUUUAAAGUCCCUAAAUUUAACCAUUGUCAACCAACCAAGUCACCUAACAAAAACACAUUCCAAAACAAAAAUCUCUUCUAAAGUCCCUAACUUAACCAUUUCCGAGCAUCGAAUUGUCAAAAAAAAACCACAUUCCAAAACAAAAUCCCUUCUAAAGUCCACAAACUUAACCAUUUUCGAGCAUCUAAGUGUCAAAAUAAAACCACAUUUCAAAUCAAAAAUCUCUUUUAAAGUCCCUAAACCUAACACCUUUGAACCAAGUGUUAAAACAAAACCACAUUCCAAAACAAAAAUCCCUUCAAAAGUCCCUAAACUAUUUUCAACCAACCAAGUAACCUAACAAAACCACAUUCCAAAACAAAAUACCCCUCUAAAGUCCCUAAACUUAACCAUUUUCGAGCAUCUCAGUGUUAAAACAAAACCACAUUACCAAAAAAAAAAUCCCUUCUAAAGUCCGUAAGCUUAACCAUUUUCGAGCAUCUAAGUGUCAAAAUAAAAUCACAUUCCAAAACAAAAAUCUGUUUUAAAGUCCGUAAACCUAAAACUUUCUAUCCAAGUGUCAAAACAAAGCCACAUUCCAAAACAAAAAUCCCUUCUAAAGUCCCUAAACUUAACCAUUUUCAACCAACCAAGUCGCCUAACAAAACCACAAUCCAAAACAUAAUCCUCUUCUAAAGUCCCUAAACUUAACCAUUUUCGAGCAUCUAAGUGUCAAAACAAAACCACAUUCCAAAACAAAAAUUCAUUUUAAAGUCCCUAAACUUAACCAUUUUCAACCAACCAAGUCACCUAACAAAACCACAUUCCAAAACAAAAUCUCCUUCUAAAGUCCCUUAACUAUUUUCGAGCAUCUAAGUGUCAAAACAAAACCACAUUCCAAAACAAAAAUCCCUUCUAAAGUCCACAAACUUAACCAUUUUCGAGCAUUUAAGUGUCAAAAUAAAACCACAUUCCAAAAUAAAAAUCUAUUUUAAAGUCCCUAAACUUAACUAUUUUCGGACAAGUAAGUGUCAAAACAAAACAACAUUCCAAAACAAAAAUCCCUUCUAUAGUCCACAAACUUAACCAUUUUCGAGCAUCUAAGUGUCAAAACAAAACCACAUUCCAAAAUAAAAAUCCAUUUUAAAGUCCCUAAACUUAACCAUUUUCAACCAACCAAGUCACCUAACCAAACCACAUUCCAAAACAAAAAUCACUUCUAAAGUCCGUAAACUUAACCAUUUUCGAGAAUCAAAGUGUCAAAACAAAACCACAUUCAAAAAUAAAAAUCCCUUUUAAAGUCCCUAAACUUAACCAUUUCCAACCAACCAAGUCACCUAACAAAACCACAUUCCAAAAUAAAAAUCUCUUCUAAAGUUCUUAAACUUAACCAUUUUCGAGCAUCUAAGCGUCAAAAUAAAACCACAUUCCAAAACAAAAAUCCCUUUUAAAGUCCCUUAACUUAACCAUUUUCAACCAACCAAGUCACCCAACAAAACCACAUUCCAAAAUAAAAAUCUCCUCUAAAGUCCAUAAACUUAACCAUUUCCGAGCAUCUAAGUGUCAAAACAAAACCACAUUCCAAAACAAAAAUCCCUUCUAAAGUUCACAAAUUGAACCAUUUUCGAGCAUCUAAGUGUCAAAACGAAACAACAUUCCAUAUCAAAAAUCUCUUUUAUAGACCCUAAACCUAACACUUUUUAACCAAGUGUCAAAACAAAACCACAUUCCAAAACAAAAAUCCCUUCUAAAGUCCCUAAACUUAACAAUUUUCAACCAACCAAGUCACCUAACAAAACCACAUUCCAAAACAAAAUACCCUUCAAAAGUCCCUAAACUUAACCAUUUUGGAGCAUCUCUGUGUCAAAACAAAAUUUCAUUACAAAAAAAAAUCCCUUCUAAAGUCCGUAAACUUAACCAUUUUCGAGCAUCUAAGUGUCAAAAUAAAAUCACAUUUCAGAACAAAAAUCUCUUUUAAAGUCUCUAAACCUAACACUUUUUAUCCAAGUGUCAAAACAAAACCACAUUCCAAAACAAAAAUCCCUUCUAAAGUCCCUAAACUUAACCAUUUUCAACCAACCAAGUCACCUAACAAAACCCUAUUCCAAAACAUAAUCCCCUUCUAAAGUCCCUAAACUUAACCAUUUUCGAGCAUCUAAGUGUCAAAACAAAACCACAUUCCAAAACAAAAAAUUAUUUUAAAGUCCCUAAACUUAACCAUUUUCAACCAACCAAGUCACCUAACAAAACCCUAUUCCAAAACAUAAUCCCCUUCUAAAGUCCCUAAACUUAACCAUUUUCGAGCAUCUAAGUGUCAAAACAAAACCACAUUCCAAAAAGAAAUCCCUUCUAAAGUCCGUACACUUAACCAUUAUCGAGCAUCCAAGUGUCAAAACAAAAUCACAUUCCAAAACAAAAAUCUCUUUUAAAGUCCCUAAACCUAACACUUUUUUUCCAAGUAUCAUAACAAAAGCACAUUUCCAAACAAAAAUCCCUUCUAAAGUCCCUAAACUUAACCAUUUUCAACCAACCAAGUCACCAAACAAAACCACAUUCCAAAACAUAAUGCCUUUCUAAAGUCCCUAAACUUAACCAUUUUCGAGCAUCUAAGUGUCAAAAGAAAAUCACAUUCCAAAACAAAAAUCCAUUUUAAAAUUCCUAAACUUAACCAUUUUCUACCAACCAAGUCACCUAACAAAACCACAUUCCAAAACAAAAUCUCCUUCUAAAGUCCCUAAACUUAACCAUUUUCGAGCAUCUAUGUGUCAAAACAAAACCACAUUCUAAAACCAAAAUCCAUUUUAAAGUUCCUAAACUUAACCAUUUUCAACCGACCAAGUCACCUAACAAAAUCACAUUCCAAAACAAAAUCCCCUUCUAAAAUCCCUAAACUUAACCAUUUUCGAGCAUCUAAGUAUCAAAACAAAACCACAUUCCAAAACAAAAAUCCAUUUUAAAAUCCCUAAACUUAACUAUUUUCAACCAACUAAGUCGCCUAACAAAACCACAUUACAAAACAAAAUCCCCUUCUAAAGUCCCUAAACUUAACCAUUUUCAAGCAUCUAAGUGUCAAAACGAAACCAC
rnacentral:lncRNA from 1 species